AAAGCAUCUAAGCACGAAACUUGCCCCGAGAUGAGUUCUCCCUGAGACUUAGAGUCUCCUGAAGGAACGUUGAAGACGACGACGUUGAUAGGCCGGGUGUGUAAGCGCAGCGAUGCGUUGAGCUAACCGGUACUAAUGAACCGUGAGGCUUAACCUUAC
rnacentral:rRNA from 1 species